GGGCCCGCACAAGCGGUGGAGGAUGUGGCUUAAUUCGAGGCUACGCGAAGAACCUUACCUAGACUUAACAUGUUUGAGAAUCUCUGUGAAAGCAGAGAGUGCCUUUCGGGGAACUCUUACGUAGGUGCUGCAUGGCUGUCGUCAGCUCGUGUCGUGAGAUGUCGGGUUAAGUCCCUUAACGAGCGAAACCCUUAUCUUCAGUUGCCAGCGAGUAAUGUCGGGGACUCUGGAGAGACUGCCGGUGUUAAACCGGAGGAAGGUGGGGAUGACGUCAAGUCCUCAUGGCCUUUAUAUCCAGGGCUACACACGUGCUACAAUGGUCGGUACAGAAGGCAGCCAAGCCGUGAGGUGGAGCGAACCCUAGAAAACCGAUCUCAGUUCGGAUUGUAGUCUGCAACUCGACUACAUGAAGUUGGAAUUGCUAGUAA
rnacentral:rRNA from 1 species